CCGGGGAAAGUCGACUGUUCGGAGUUGCUUCAGGGACAAUCCUGCUACGAACCUGAUAGCGUGGGCGCUCAUGCUUCGUAUGCUUUUGACAGUUAUUAUCACAAGAUGGGGAUGGCUUCUGGUACCUGCUACUUCAAUGGAGUUGCUGCCAUUACUACCUCAGAUCCCAGUAAGUAGAUUAGGAUUUUGACCAUAGUUCAAAAAGCGAAAAUAGCGGCAAAGCGGUUUUUUUGGACCGCUUUGCCAAACGCUUUUUUCAAAUGUUAUAAUGUGUUUUUUGGACCAUUAAUGAGGUAUUUAUUUAUCUCAUACACGUGUUAUUUAUCUCAUUUGACAGAUCUAUGAGAUAAAAAUAAUCCGUGUCUAUUAAUGGGGUAUUUAUUUACCUCAUACACGUAUUAUUUAUCUCAUUUGACAGAUCUAUGAGAUAAAAAUAAUACGUGUCUAUUAAUGGGAAGUUAAAGAUAGCUAAAAAUAUAACCGCUUUAGCUAAAUAAUACGUGUCUAUUAAUGGGAAGUUAAAGCUUUAACCGCUUUAGCUAAAUAGCUAAAGAUAUAUCUGUUUAUAUUUAGCUAAAAUAACCGCUUUAGCUAUUUAGGGUUAUAUAUAGCUAAACCGCUUUAACCGCUUUAAGCGACGCUAAAGCGGUUAAAGCUAAAAAAGCGCUCCCUGGAAAUUGGGAGCGCUUUCCGCUUUUUCGAACUAUGAUUUUGACUAAGACAUUAAUCACCAAAUAAAUUCUCAUCGUGAAUUCAUUAAUUGCAGGUAGCGACUCUUGCGUGUUCCCUGGGAGGUAUGGAUAUUAAAUAAUAAUCUCCAGGGUUUAGGAUUUUG
rnacentral:lncRNA from 1 species